rnacentral:rRNA from 1 species
UACGGGGGGGGCAAGCGUUGUUCGGAAUUACUGGGCGUAAAGGGCUCGUAGGCGGCCAACUAAGUCCGACGUGAAAUCCCCAGGCUUAACCUGGGAACUGCGUCGGAUACUGGAUGGCUUGAAUUCGGGAGAGGGAUGCAGAAUUCCAGGUGUAGCGGUGAAAUGCGUAGAUAUCAGGAGGAACACCGGUGGCGAAGGCGGAUCUCUGGGCCUUACCUGACGCUGGAGGCGCGAAAGCUAGGGGAGCGAACAGG